rnacentral:rRNA from 1 species
CGAUCGAUCAUACCAGCACUAAUGCAGCGGAUCCCAUCAGAACUCCCGAAGUUAAACGUGCUUGGGCGAGAGUAGUACUAGGGAUGGGUGACCCCCCUGGGAAGUCCUCGUGUUGCAUCCC